rnacentral:lncRNA from 1 species
CUUGUAAUCAACGGCAAUUUGAAAAAACGGCACAGCCACAUCAUUCAACGAAUACAUACAGGCACAGAAACACACUCACACAAUCGUAGAUUCGCGGCAAAGCAACUGGCGGAUGGGAACACACGCGUUAAAUACUGUUUGGGGUUCGGUACGGAUUUAUAUAUUAUUUGUUUAUAACAUAUUUUUCGCCGGAGUGACACUUGGAAUUUUACAUUUCUUUUUUUAUAGUUAUAGUUUUUGGAGCGACGCGACGGCGGCGCAGAAACAACAAAACCUCUACCGAGCGUUGCGCUUGUAUUUAUAUCCUCUACUCUCUUCUUUCCGAACCUUCUUCUCUUCGAAGCCUCUCUCUCUCUCUCUCUGGUCGCGAUCUGGGGCUGUCCACCCGGUUGAUUUUACUGCAUCUGAAUUGUGACCAUUUUUUGGAAAGUUCACACAACAAAAAAUCGUAUCUCCAAUAGUUGAUCUACAAGAGAAUUUUUUGAAAAAAGUUUUAAUAUUUAAGUGCACUGGUUCAAGUAAAUUGCGUUAGGUUGACAGCCCCGAGAGUGGUGUUGAACUCUAGUCACAUACAUACAUUUAUUGCUGAGCGUGAAUUUCUCUCCCUAGUGUUCGUGUGUGUGUGUGUGUGCAAUCGUGUGCAAAUGAUACACAGAAGAAUUAUAUCAAAGGCAGAGAAAAAUAAUGAUGACGCAGUGAAAAAAUUAUAUUAAAAUAAUUACAACGGCGCGUUCAACUUGGUAAAGACGUUGACGUCGACGUUCGGUUCGACAAGAGAGCGUCGUUGUCAUCUACGCGCGCACCUUUUUAGCUGCAGCUUGUUUGUGGCUGUUGUUUAUUCCUUCCCUCUCACUCACACUCUUAUUCCCGGGCCAUUGACAGGGUAGUUUCUUGAGGAAUUGUAGUGGAAAGGUUUUCCAGACGCUGUAUGUAUAUAUGCACAAAUGUAUGUUUGUUUUAAUGUACAGAACAUACACACACAAUAUGCGGAAUUCCUGUUGCUUUUUUGUUGUUGCCAAAAAAUAAGGGCGAUAUCUUUACAGGAAGGGUUGCGUUGUCUGUCGUCUUAGCUUUCCCGCCCUCCUGCCUCACAUCAACGUCCGUCCUUCCCUGCUAAAGCGCUAGCGCAGCUGUUGCUGUCUCGGAAUCCCAUUAUCCAAACUGCCCAGCGGGAAGAAUAUUUUCGUUGUCUUUUCCGUUUUUGCUCGAUUUUGUUUUUUUUUUGCUUGUCUGUCCAAGGUGACACAGUUUUGCGUACGGGCUGCGUCUUCGUCUUCAAUGGAAUUGUGCAGAGUUGGACAAAUUUUUUGUAUUUAAAUACGAAUCAGUAUUUUCAUUCAUUUUCCGCUUCCUGCAAUUAAGAUUCAGUGACGUGUGAUUCGCGGGAGUAAAGCGAGAGACAUUCCUGAGAAUGAAUGGUUUCCCCGGUAUUCCCAUUUAUUGAUGGAAGUACUCAUUUGGGGGUAGAUCAGGUCAUCUACUACCGUUUGAUUGCCAGGGUUCUUCCCCCUUAAUAUAACCUUAUCUCGAAGCCAUCUGACAAGCCACGAACAUCUUUAUAGCAUCUUUAUUCCCUGCUUUCAUAUCACUCCAGUUACUCCCUCUCUCUUUAGUUCUCCUGUUGCUGCCCCAAUUAAACGCUAAAUUCUUCCCACAGUACCGGGCAUGGGCCCCAUCGCAUAACCCAAUUCAAAGCCCAGCCCCCGUCUCGGGUUUUAGCACCAGCAGCUCUCCAGCUCUGUGGCAGAUUAAAGAGCAGGUAAAACGUCAAAGUAUAUUUUCCGACUAGGAAAUACCCGCUACUUGGAUCCAUUGUGUGUGCACUAACUAGAAAAUUAUCUAAUUGGGCGCUAAAUAGCCGAUGGAACUAAUUAGGGGACAAUAUAAUGAAUUUCUUCUUUUUGAAUCAUUUCUUUUGCUUUAUAAUGUAUUCCAACCAGGCGAUGACAGUUUGGACAAAACAAGCCUCAUAUCAUUUACGGCUUAAAAACUUAUUCGCCGAGUCGUAAUCAGAUUUGAUUAGGAUCUUAAAAUCGGUUUAAAAGGAUAUAGUCAUAGCAGUCAUAGCUUUUGAUGGCCAUCUCAUUCAUCUUUUAAUGAAUUAAGAAACUCUUCCUUCGUGCCGUUAUAACCAUAAUAUACCCAGAGACGCCGCGAGUACGCCGGGUAUUACAAAAAAUCACACACGCCUGGCCUGGGCUACUUGUCAUUGCGGAAACUUUGAGGUGUGUGCAGAGGAAAGGUGUCGGUGUUUGCUGUUAGAGAGGUAGAGGGUGUGUGACCCAAACAAUCUCCAGCUCCAGCCUCAGCUACAGCUACAGCUCCAGCUCGGACUCGUAUCUUUUAUUGUAAAUGUCAGUUGUGUGUUUGCCAUUGCCCAACUGCCAGGCCACGUUCAUGUGCCCCAUCUAGGACCCCAACCCCAUUUCGAUCUCCCCACCCCCAGGCAUGUCCGUGGCCGACGUCCGACGUCCACUCACAUUAAAUUACAUACACUCCUUUUGUUUGCAAUAUAUUUAAAUUGCUUGGCCGGCCUGUCUAAACAGUCCAAAAGCAGAAAAGAAAGAAAGAUCGUCCCAUCCAAAUGGCUCAAACAAAUGGCAAAGUUCAAACGAGGUUAACAACAUUUCAUGCCACUUCCACUGCCAUUGAAGUUGAGGCUGUAGCUGGACGAUUCAGCAGGCUGGAGGAUGGGAUGGGAUGGCACACAGGCCACGGCCACCAAAAUAGAUAAAAAACUUUGCAGGCCAACAAACCAAACCACAACCAAACCAAACAAACAUAACCCAGCAACGAACGCAGCCAAAAGCCAUCUUAAACGACAGGCUGCGGUAACAUGACCAUAGAAACGAUAGCUUCAGCUCCAGCAACAUCUCCAGGUCCAGGUCCACGUCCACGUCCAACUCCAGCACCAGCAUCAGCACCAGCAACGGCAAGUCCAAUAAAUAGACAUGAGCGCAAAUCUGAAGCCAUGGCUUCAUAUAAAACCUUUCUAACGAUCGUUUACCUCUCUCGCGAAAUGUAACAAAGGAGUUGGACGUUAAAAAAGUUGCCAUUGCAGCGGCGGCAGGGGCGGCUGGGGGAUAACAGAGAUAGGCAUUGGAGGUGGUGGCAUGGUGGCAUGGUGGCAUGGAUGUUGGAUGCUGGCUAGGCUAGAAGGAAGACCGACCAGUCCGGGCCAAGCCUAUCCUAUGGCAAUGCGCGCCCACUUCCUACUUGUUGCAUGCUGCCGCUGCCGCUGCUGCCCACAAAACGUUGCUUAGACGCUGAGAUUUGGUUGUUAUGCCUCCUCCGUCGGUCGUGGCUCGGAACGAAAAUGGUAGCUGCUGGGAAGCUGCGUAGCCUGUAGAGUUCAGGCCAGCGACGUAGAUGGCUGGUAAGCUCUGGGCCAUCGUGCUCAUUUGGCCCCUUUGCAUACGCCACUGUGUCCAAAAAGAGUCAACGGCGCGACCAGACCAAAAGACCACGAAGACCAAGAGAGACCCACCGCUCUAACCGAAAACCUCUAACCGAUAAAGCCAAAGCCAAAAACAAAACCAAAGGAGAAGAAAAGAGUAAUAACCAGUUUUUUGUCUCCCAAAAAAGCCAAACAAAUGAAGUCAAGCCGUGGUGGCAGCCAGGCAGGGAUGAAAGAAAAGAAGAGAACAACAAGAAGAGGAAAGAACGUACCUCAUGUUUACGAGUGGGGAAGCAGAACCAGGCAACACAAACUUCUGGCCAAAACGAACGAGCGAGCAGCUAGCAGCUAGCAGCCAGCAGACGAUCGAGCAAUCGAGCGGAGAACCAAGAACGCGGGAGGGAGGACAGCAGGGGUAGGGUAGGGCAGCGCAGGUCGGGUCGGUCGGUCGGUCGGGCGCUCUGCUCUUCAGCGUUAACUUGAACGUUAACGGCCAUCAUCAGAUAGAGCAGAGUCGCUGUUGCUGCCGCAGCCGCAGCCGCAGCCAGAGACACGGCCAAGAGUCCCAGCAAAAGAGCCAGUACAGUUGAAUUGAAGUAAAGUUGCGGCAAACGGGUAUUGAGGGAGUUUGGCUUCAGCUUCAGCUCUACACGUACCGUACCUUCCACUCUUGCCCCCCCCUGUCUCUUCUGGUCUCUGGGUCUCCUCCAACUGGGGUUUCGGUGUGGUGUUUGUCUCUUUUUGUUUUUGUGUCUCUGUUGUAGGAGUUUUGGCUGCACAGAAGUUUAGUUACAUGCUCAUUACAUAGAUACAGAUACACACACACACACACACACGCCAAGAAGAUACAUUGUAGAAUGUACUUAUGUGUGUAUGUGGCAGUGGUGGCAGGCCAUAGAUACAUACAAUUUAUGUAUUGCAGAUACAUAGAUACCCGGUAGAGGCUGGCUUUGGCUUUGGCUUUGCUUGUUGCUAGCCUGGACCUGGCUUGGAUGCUGCUCUGCUCUGCUAUGCUCUGAACUGCUGCUGUUGCCUUUCUAAACUUCGGGCUUUUCCGAUCUUUAUCGCAGAAGAGCAAAGAAAAUAAAAAUAAAUAAAUGCAGAACUCCCACAAAAAGGAAAAAAACCAAGCGAACCAUUUCUUUGGCCUAGCUACCCUGCUGUUGGGGAUCCUCUUCCUGCCAAAGCGAUCUUUCUUCUCAUGCAUAAAUUUCGAACGAAAGCAGUUUCAUUUCAUCCCAUGGCCAUAGUCAUAGUCAUAGCUGUAGUCAUAGACAUGGCCUGGCAUCGGGUCGGUCACCGUCUCCGUCUCCGUCUCGGCGUCCUCUUGUCCUCAGCAUCAUUAGUUUUGAGGUUUUUAUGUAUUGUAUGGACUGUGUGCUCUGUGCUCUGUGCUCUGUACUCUGUACUCUGGUCUCGUCGUUUUGGGGUCUCCUAUUGCAUGUUGUUAGUGCUGCGAUUGUUUAGGAUGGGAUUUGAUUGCGACCAUGGCAGUGCCACAAUAAAAACUGAAACUCUUCUUCGUUUCCCCAAGUCUUUCUCUUUCUCUCUCCAUCUCACUGUGUACUGUAUCUCAGGUUUUCCCUGAGUACGUGUGUGGGUAAUUGUAAAAACAAUUUAGACGAAUUUUCCAGUUCAAUUGCGCUUUUAAUUUAAAUUGCAGUCUAACUUGCCUUUGCUGGCUGGCACAAAUCAAUUGUCAGUCCAUUUUGGAGUUGAAAGUUCCAUGCGCGAAAAUUGCCCAAGAUGAUCAUGAGAGAUGCCAUGCCAUGCCAUGUGAUCAUGGACUUUAGUGGAAUGGACUGCAGUGGAGAGAUCCCCCUUUUGCAAUGGACAAAUGUUGAGAUGUCAGUGGAAAUGGUAAGCUUUUGCGCUUGAGACGCCUCUGAGAAUGUCAAUUUGGUGGAAUUUGGAUGGGAGGUUAAUUAACGAUCGAGUGAUCGAAUUGCUUGUUUGAAAGUACACAAUGCUCUGUACACUCUUGGAAUGAUAUCAGAGAUCCGAAAGAAAAUCUAUUGAUAGACAAUACAUCCACUAGGCACACAAUAAAUUUGAUCUAGGAUAGCUGCAGGGGAUAAAGAGAUGCACUUAUUGAUCAGUUGAUUGAUCUGAGACAGAUCUCAACGAUGCGAUAAGUACAGAUAGAUUCAUCAAGCUCCCAUAGAUCAGCAGAUCAGCGUUGAUCUGCCACUAGCACAAUACACACACUCACACACACACAAGAAAUAUAUUUAUGGAUGUGUGUACAUCUCUGACUCAAUGGAAGAGAACCGCUUCCAGCUCUUUAAACAUUCUCCUCUUUGCUUUUCUAAUCCCAGCUCUUCCAAUUUCUAUUUGUAGAAUGUAACAAUCAUUGAUGACUGUUUAAUAGGCAAACAUUUUGGAGUACUUCAGAUUGUGUGGCCGCCAGAAGACUGUCAAGCUCCCUGGUUGGUACUUAUUGACCACUUGAAGCCUUUCACCAUUUCUGCUGCUGCUGCUGCUGCUGCUUGGAGUGGAGUGGAGUUUGAUUUGAUGCUGCUGAGGUCGAAACCGAAGCGGUAAGCGCCAACCGGCAACAGAGGGCUGCACUCGAAGCUCAGUUUCGGCUUUGGCUUGGUUUGGUUUUGGCCCCUCAAGUGAAGAACAUUAAAGCCUAAGAACAACCAUUCGCCUGCUGCUAAAUUUCACUGUUUAUUUCUUGUGUUCGAGCUGAAAUUAAAAGACUAUAAACAAUCGUGAGAAUGGCACUUGAACAUGUUCAAAACUAUAAUGGCCUAAAACGAAAUGUGCAAGAGAAGCCGCUGUCGCUGCCGUUGCCGUUGACGCUGCCGAAGAUGAAGAUGGGGGGCACGACAGAGAUGGCAAAUGGACAAAACAAACCAACAAGCUUCACAGCCAAAGCCAAAGCCAACAAACGGAGCGAGCCAUGCUCAAGCAGCGGCUAAAUGAACAGACAGUCAAUCAACUUUUAGUCAAAAGCUACAGCAACAACAGCAACAACAAUCAUGACUGGGCCUAUGACGUUGGCAUCAAAGAGAAAAGCGCGCGCUCGGCUCGGGCACUGUUCGGCUCAAUUCAAGCCAAGCCAAAACGAUCACGAGAUCUGGCUGGAGUCUCUGGCUCUGCUCUUGCUCUGACUCAGGCUCAUACUCUGCUCUACUCUGCCUUGGCCAAGAUGAUUUAAACAGACCGCUGCACUAAGAAAACUAUUACAAAAUGAUCAAAACAACUAAAACAAAAUCAAAUCAGCCGAAGACGAUGAUGCUCAGAUGCUCAGAUGCUGAUGUUGAUGUUGAUGUCGAGGCGGCCUGAGUUGGAAGCGGCAAUGGGCUAUUGCUAUUGCUAAGGCGAUCGUAUCGUAUCGGAUUGGAUCGGUUCGAGACUCGAUUACAAUAAUUACAAUCGGCUACGCGCGAUUCACCAAAUCACAGCAACAACAACAGUCGCUCUUUGUGAAAGUGUAUGAAUCUGUGUGGCUGUACAGGCACACAUACACUCGAAGAGAGAGAGAGAGAGAGAGACAGAGGGACCAACUAUUACGUGCAUAUAAACAAUUUUUAUAAGAAAUUGAAGCCAAGAAGCAGAAUUAAAACAAAACUCAUCAACGGCAUCCACAUCCACAUCCACAACCACGUCGUUGGGGAGAUACCAACACUCACUUGGGAGCUGCUCACACACACACACUUAGCCACACGCACGAGUCAAUUGCUGCGGCUGGAGAAAAGAACAGAAGAGAAGAGAAGAGAACAGAACACGGACAAACGUUCUGACAGAGAUCCAUCUUCAGCCCCACGCUCAGUGUUCCCAGUUCCAGUUCCAGGCCCUGCCACAGCCGCUGUCUCUGCUUGAGCAGAACAAUUUUUAGCUAACAGCUCUGGUCUGCUCCAGGAAAAGGGCCAACACUCGUUCAGCUAUGAGCAUAAGCUUUAUAUUAGGGAUCACUAACAUAAAUGAACGAUUUUCCAUGAUUUUUGU